UGACAGAAAAAGAUUUUUUUCAUUAUCGAAAGGGACAUGUACAACAUCCAUAAUGGUGUGUCUGAUGGAAUUUGUCAUUUCAUUAAUAAAUAAUGCUGAUAAAGAUGCAAACUUAGCAAUUGUGCCUAAAAAGUGACAGCUUUGACAAGGAAAUAUAUCCAUAUAUAACAGUUACUGGUACUGUAUGAAUGCAGUGAAAGGAUCCAGAUGAACAGAUGAAGAGAUUAAGUACAAUGUACAUCAAUUACUUGGAUGAAGAGAAUCUGCAACAUGGGGAAAUAAUGUUCCUAUAGAAAAGUCAAAGAAUGUAUACAUGUGAGAUUCUGAAGUAGCCGUACAUGAUGAGUAGGAAUUUGAAGUGAAUUAUGGGAAAAGGGUCCCUAUAUAAGCCACUCACUUAGUCACUGUUCAGUGUAAUCUGUUGUCACCUGUCUGUAUAGACAGACUGACGUAUGCUACAUAGCUCUGG